UAGGGAAUCUUCGGCAAUGGACGGAAGUCUGACCGAGCAACGCCGCGUGAGUGAAGAAGGUUUUCGGAUCGUAAAGCUCUGUUGUUAGAGAAGAACGUUGGUAGGAGUGGAAAAUCUACCAAGUGACGGUAACUAACCAGAAAGGGACGGCUAACUACGUGCCAGCAGCCGCGGUAAUACGUAGGUCCCGAGCGUUGUCCGGAUUUAUUGGGCGUAAAGCGAGCGCAGGCGGUUCUUUAAGUCUGAAGUUAAAGGCAGUGGCUUAACCAUUGUACGCUUUGGAAACUGGAGGACUUGAGUGCAGAAGGGGAGAGUGGAAUUCCAUGUGUAGCGGUGAAAUGCGUAGAUAUAUGGAGGAACACCGGUGGCGAAAGCGGCUCUCUGGUCUGUAACUGACGCUGAGGCUCGAAAGCGUGGGAAGCAAACAGG
rnacentral:rRNA from 1 species